UACGUAGGGGGCAAGCGUUGUCCGGAUUUAUUGGGCGUAAAGCGCGUGUAGGCGGCCAUACAGGUCCGUUGUGAAAACUCGAGGCUCAACCUCGAGACGCCGAUGGAAACCAUCUGACUAGAGUCCGGAAGAGGAGAGUGGAAUUCCUGGUGUAGCGGUGAAAUGCGCAGAUAUCAGGAAGAACACCCGUGGCUAAGGCGGCUCUCUAGUACGGUACUGACGCUGAGACGCGAAAGCGUGGGGAGCGAACAGG
rnacentral:rRNA from 1 species